UACGUAGGGGGCAAGCGUUGUCCGGAUUUAUUGGGCGUAAAGAGCGUGUAGGCGGUUUGGUAGGUCCGUUGUGAAAACUCGAGGCUCAACCUCGAGACGCCGAUGGAAACCAUCAGACUAGAGUCCGGAAGAGGAGAGUGGAAUUCCUGGUGUAGCGGUGAAAUGCGCAGAUAUCAGGAAGAACACCCGUGGCUAAGGCGGCUCUCGUAGUAACGGUACUGACGCUGAGACGCGAAAGCGUGGGGGAGCGAACAGG
rnacentral:rRNA from 1 species